UACGUAGGGUGCGAGCGUAAUCGGAAUUACUGGGCGUAAAGCGUGCGCAGGCGGUUCGUUAAGUUCGUUGUGAAAGCCCCGGGCUCAACCUGGGAACUGCAAUGGAAACUGGCGGGCUUGAGUGUGGCAGAGGGGGGUGGAAUUCCGCGUGUAGCAGUGAAAUGCGUAGAGAUGCGGAGGAACACCGAUGGCGAAGGCAGCCCCCUGGGCCAACACUGACGCUCAGGCACGAAAGCGUGGGGAGCAAACAGG
rnacentral:rRNA from 1 species